rnacentral:rRNA from 1 species
UACAGAGGUCUCAAGCGUUGUUUCGGAUUUCAUUUGGGCGUAAAGGGUGCGUAGGCGGCGCGGUAAGUCGGGUGUGAAAUCUUGGAGCUUAACUCCGAAACUGCAUUCGAUACUGCCGUGCUUGAGGACUGGAGAGGAGACUGGAAUUUACGGUGUAGCGGUGAAAUGCGUAGAUAUCGUAAGGAAGACCAGUGGCGAAGGCGGGUCUCUGGACAGUUCCUGACGCUGAGGCACGAAGGCCAGGGGAGCAAAACGGG